rnacentral:tRNA from 1 species
GGGUGCGUAGCUCAGCCGGUUAGAGCGUUCGGUUCACAUCCGAAAGGUCACAGGUUCGAGUCCUGUCGCGCCCACCA